rnacentral:rRNA from 1 species
UACGUAGGGUGCGAGCGUUGUCCGGAUUUAUUGGGCGUAAAGAGCGUGUAGGCGGCUUGGUAGGUCCGCUGUAAAAGUCCAGGGCUCAACCCUGGAAAGCCGGUGGAUACUGUCGGGCUAGAGUCCGGAAGAGGCGAGUGGAAUUCCUGGUGUAGCGGUGGAAUGCGCAGAUAUCAGGAGGAACACCGAUAGCGAAGGCAGCUCGCUGGGACGGUACUGACGCUGAGGCGCGAAAGCGUGGGGAGCGAACAGG